UAGGGAAUCUUCGGCAAUGGACGAAAGUCUGACCGAGCAACGCCGCGUGAGUGUAGAAGGUUUUCGGAUCGUAAAACUCUGUUGUUAGAGAAGAACAAGGACGUUAGUAACUGAACGUCCCCUGACGGUAUCUAACCAGAAAGCCACGGCUAACUACGUGCCAGCAGCCGCGGUAAUACGUAGGUGGCAAGCGUUGUUCGGAUUUAUUGGGCGUAAAGCGAGCGCAGGCGGUUUCUUAAGUCUGAUGUGAAAGCCCCCGGCUCAACCGGGGAGGGUCAUUGGAAACUGGGAGACUUGAGUGCAGAAGAGGAGAGUGGAACUCCAUGUGUAGCGGUAAAAUGCGUAGAUAUAUGGAGGAACACCAGUGGCGAAGGCGGCGAACAGGUCUGUAACUAACGAAGAGGCUAGAAAGGGUGGGUAGCGAACAGG
rnacentral:rRNA from 1 species